rnacentral:rRNA from 1 species
UGGGUAACCUGCCUCAAAGAGGGGAAUAGCCUCCCGAAAGGGAGAUUAAUACCGCAUAAUAUGUUUAAGUCGCAUGACUUUAACAUCAAAGGAUUUUUCUUUUAAGAAAUUCCACUUUGAGAUGGACCCGCGGCGCAUUAGCUAGUUGGUGAGGUAACGGCUCACCAAGGCAACGAUGCGUAGCCGACCUGAGAGGGUGAUCGGCCACAUUGGAACUGAGACACGGUCCAGACUCCUAGGGAG